rnacentral:rRNA from 1 species
GGUUAAGUUAGAAAGGGCGCACGGUGGAUGCCUUGGCACUAGGAGCCGAUGAAGGACGGGACGAACACCGAUAUGCUUCGGGGAGCUGUAAGCAAGCUUUGAUCCGGAGAUUUCCGAAUGGGGAAACCCACCACUCGUAAUGGAGUGGUAUCCAUAUCUGAAUACAUAGGAUAUGAGAAGGCAGACCCGGGGAACUGAAACAUCUAAGUACCCGGAGGAAGAGAAAGCAAAUGCGAUUCCCUGAGUAGCGGCGAGCGAAACGGGACCAGCCCAAACCAAGAGGCUUGCCUCUUGGGGUUGUAGGACACUCUGUACGGAGUUACAAAGGAACGAGGUAGAUGAAGAGGUCUGGAAAGGCCCGCCAUAGGAGGUAACAGCCCUGUAGUCAAAACUUCGUUCUCUCCUGAGUGGAUCCUGAGUACGGCGGAACACGUGAAAUUCCGUCGGAAUCCGGGAGGACCAUCUCCCAAGGCUAAAUACUCCCUAGUGACCGAUAGUGAACCAGUACCGUGAGGGAAAGGUGAAAAGCACCCCGGAAGGGGAGUGAAAGAGAUCCUGAAACCGUGUGCCUACAAGUAGUCAGAGCCCGUUAACGGGUGAUGGCGUGCCUUUUGUAGAAUGAACCGGCGAGUUACGAUCCCGUGCAAGGUUAAGCAGAAGAUGCGGAGCCGCAGCGAAAGCGAGUCUGAAUAGGGCGAAUUGAGUACGUGGUCGUAGACCCGAAACCAGGUGAUCUACCCAUGUCCAGGGUGAAGUUCAGGUAACACUGAAUGGAGGCCCGAACCCACGCACGUUGAAAAGUGCGGGGAUGAGGUGUGGGUAGGGGUGAAAUGCCAAUCGAACCUGGAGAUAGCUGGUUCUCUCCGAAAUAGCUUUAGGGCUAGCCUCAAGGUAAGAGUCUCGGAGGUAGAGCACUGAUUGGACUAGGGGCCCCUACCGGGUUACCGAAUUCAGUCAAACUCCGAAUGCCGAUGACUUAUCCUUGGGAGUCAGACUGCGAGUGAUAAGAUCCGUAGUCGAAAGGGAAACAGCCCAGACCGCCAGCUAAGGUCCCAAAGUAUACGUUAAGUGGAAAAGGAUGUGGAGUUGCUUAGACAACCAGGAUGUUGGCUUAGAAGCAGCCACCAUUUAAAGAGUGCGUAAUAGCUCACUGGUCGAGUGACUCUGCGCCGAAAAUGUACCGGGGCUAAACGUAUCACCGAAGCUGCGGACUGUUCUUCGAACAGUGGUAGGAGAGCGUUCUAAGGGCUGUGAAGCAAGACCGGAAGGACUUGUGGAGCGCUUAGAAGUGAGAAUGCCGGUAUGAGUAGCGAAAGAGGGGUGAGAAUCCCCUCCACCGAAUGCCUAAGGUUUCCUGAGGAAGGCUCGUCCGCUCAGGGUUAGUCGGGACCUAAGCCGAGGCCGAAAGGCGUAGGCGAUGGAUAACAGGUUGAUAUUCCUGUACCACCUCCUCACCAUUUGAGCAAUGGGGGGACGCAGGAGGAUAGGGUAAGCGCGGUAUUGGAUAUCCGCGUCCAAGCAGUUAGGCUGGGAAAUAGGCAAAUCCGUUUCCCGUGAAGGCUGAGCUGUGAUGGCGAGCGAAUUAUAGUAGCGAAGUUCCUGAUUCCACACUGCCAAGAAAAGCCUCUAGCGAGGUGAGAGGUGCCCGUACCGCAAACCGACACAGGUAGGCGAGGAGAGAAUCCUAAGGUGAUCGAGAGAACUCUCGUUAAGGAACUCGGCAAAAUGACCCCGUAACUUCGGGAGAAGGGGUGCUCUGUUAGGGUGCAAGCCCGAGAGAGCCGCAGUGAAUAGGCCCAGGCGACUGUUUAGCAAAAACACAGGUCUCUGCGAAGCCGUAAGGCGAAGUAUAGGGGCUGACGCCUGCCCGGUGCUGGAAGGUUAAGAGGAGCGCUUAGCGUAAGCGAAGGUGCGAAUUGAAGCCCCAGUAAACGGCGGCCGUAACUAUAACGGGGUCCUAAGGUAGCGAAAUUCCUUGUCGGGUAAGUUCCGACCCGCACGAAAGGCGCAACGAUCUGGGCACUGUCUCAACGAGAGACUCGGUGAAAUUAUAGUACCUGUGAAGAUGCAGGUUACCCGCGACAGGACGGAAAGACCCCGUGGAGCUUUACUGCAGCCUGAUAUUGAAUGUUGGUACAGCUUGUACAGGAUAGGUAGGAGCCUUGGAAACCGGAGCGCCAGCUUCGGUGGAGGCAUCGGUGGGAUACUACCCUGGCUGUAUUGACCUUCUAACCCGCCGCCCUUAUCGGGCGGGGAGACAGUGUCAGGUGGGCAGUUUGACUGGGGCGGUCGCCUCCUAAAAGGUAACGGAGGCGCCCAAAGGUUCCCUCAGAAUGGUUGGAAAUCAUUCGCAGAGUGUAAAGGCACAAGGGAGCUUGACUGCGAGACCUACAAGUCGAGCAGGGACGAAAGUCGGGCUUAGUGAUCCGGUGGUUCCGCAUGGAAGGGCCAUCGCUCAACGGAUAAAAGCUACCCCGGGGAUAACAGGCUUAUCUCCCCCAAGAGUCCACAUCGACGGGGAGGUUUGGCACCUCGAUGUCGGCUCAUCGCAUCCUGGGGCUGUAGUCGGUCCCAAGGGUUGGGCUGUUCGCCCAUUAAAGCGGUACGCGAGCUGGGUUCAGAACGUCGUGAGACAGUUCGGUCCCUAUCCGUCGCGGGCGCAGGAAAUUUGAGAGGAGCUGUCCUUAGUACGAGAGGACCGGGAUGGACGCACCGCUGGUGUACCAGUUGUUCUGCCAAGGGCAUCGCUGGGUAGCUAUGUGCGGACGGGAUAAGUGCUGAAAGCAUCUAAGCAUGAAGCCCCCCUCAAGAUGAGAUUUCCCAUUCCGCAAGGAAGUAAGAUCCCUGAAAGAUGAUCAGGUUGAUAGGUCUGAGGUGGAAGUGUGGCGACACAUGGAGCUGACAGAUACUAAUCGAUCGAGGACUUAACCAA